rnacentral:ncRNA from 1 species
UGAGUAACACGUGAGAAUCUGCCCUUCAAUGAAGGAUACCCUCGAGAAAUCGAGGUUAAUACUGCAUACGUCCCUUCGGGGAGAAAGAUGGCUUAUUUAGCUGUCGUUGAAGGAUGAGCUUGCGGCCUAUCAGUUUGUUGGCGGGGUAAUGGCCCACCAAGACUAUGACGGGUAGCCGGCCUGAGAGGGUGAUCGGCCAGAUUGGAACUGAGAC